rnacentral:rRNA from 1 species
AUUGAACGCUGGCGGCAUGCCUUACACAUGCAAGUCGAACGGCAGCGGACCUUCGGGUGCCGGCGAGUGGCGAACGGGUGAGUAAUAUAUCGGAACGUACCUUUCAGUGGGGGAUAACGUAGCGAAAGUUACGCUAAUACCGCAUAUUCUGUGAGCAGGAAAGCAGGGGAGUCGCAAGACCUUGCGCUGAUUGAGCGGCCGAUACCAGAUUAGCUAGUUGGUGAGGUAAAGGCUCACCAAGGCGACGAUCUGUAGCGGGUCGUGAGAGGAUGAUCCGCCACACUGGAACUGAGACACGGUCCAGACUCCUACGGGAGGCAGCAGUGGGGAAUUUUGGACAAUGGGGGCGAACCCUGAUCCAGCCAUGCCGCGUGAGUGAAGAAGGCCUCGGUUG